rnacentral:tRNA from 1 species
GCCCGUGUGGCUCAGCGGAUAGAGCGCUGGCCUGAGGACUGAAGGGUCCCAGGUUCGAUUCCAGGCAAGGGCA